GUAGUCAUAUGCUUGUCUCAAAGAUUAAGCCAUGCAUGUCUAAGUAUAAGCGAUUAUACGGCGAAACUGCGAAUGGCUCAUUACACAAGUUAUCGUUUAUUUGAUAGCACCUUACUACUUGGAUAACCGUGGUAAUUCUAGAGCUAAUACAUGCCGAAAAUCCCGACUCCGGAAGGGAUGUAUUUAUUAGAUUCAAAACCGAUGCCUCCGGGCUCACUGGUGAUUCAUGAUAACUUUCGCGGAUCGCACGGCCUUGUGCCGGCGAUGGUUCAUUCAAAUUUCUUCCCUAUCAACUUUCGAUGUUUGGGUAGUGGCCAAACAUGGUUGCAACGGGUAACGGAGGGUUAGGGCUCGACCCCGGAGAAGGAGCCUGAGAAACGGCUACUACAUCCAAGGAAGGCAGCAGGCGCGCAAAUUACCCAAUCCCGACUCGGGGAGGUAGUGACAAUAAAUACCGAUACAGGGCCCUUUUGGGUCUUGUAAUUGGAAUGAGUACAAUUUAAAUCCCUCAACGAGGAACAAUUGGAGGGCAAGUCUGGUGCCAGCAGCCGCGGUAAUUCCAGCUCCAAUAGCGUAUAUUAAAGUUGUUGUGGUUAAAAAGCUCGUAGUUGAACCUCGGGCCUGGCCGGCCGGUCCGCCUCACCGCGUGUACUGGCCCGGCCGGGCCCUUCCCUCUGUGGAACCCCAUGCCCUUCACUGGGCGUGGCGGGGAAGCAGGACUUUUACUUUGAAAAAAUUAGAGUGCUCCAGGCAGGCCUUAUGCUCGAAUACAUUAGCAUGGAAUAAUGAAAUAGGACGCGUGGUUCUAUUUUGUUGGUUUCUAGGACCGCCGUAAUGAUUAAUAGGGACAGUCGGGGGCAUCAGUAUUCAAUCGUCAGAGGUGAAAUUCUUGGAUCGAUUCGAAGACUCACUACUGCGAAAGCAUUUGCCAAGGAUGUUUUCAUUAAUCAGGAACGAAAGUUAGGGGAUCGAAGACGAUCAGAUACCGUCGUAGUCUUAACCAUAAACUAUGCCGACUAGGGAUCGGAUGAUGUUAUUUUUUUUUGACUCGUUCGGCACCUUACGAGAAAUCAAAGUGCUUGGGCUCCAGGGGGAGUAUGGUUGCAAGGCUGAAACUUAAAGGAAUUGACGGAAGGGCACCACCAGGGGUGGAGCCUGCGGCUUAAUUUGACUCAACACGGGGAAACUCACCAGGUCCAGACACAAUGAGGAUUGACAGAUUGAGAGCUCUUUCUUGAUCUUGUGGGUGGGGCGGUGCAUGGCCGUUCUUAGUUGGUGGAGUGAUUUGUCUGCUUAAUUGCGAUAACGAACGAGACCUUAGCCUGCUAAAUAGCUCGCGCUGCUCCGGUAGCGCGCCGGCUUCUUAGAGGGACUAUCGGCUCAAGCCGAAUGGAAGUUUGAGGCAAUAACAGGUCUGUGAUGCCCUUAGAUGUUCUGGGCCGCACGCGCGCUACACUGACGGAGCCAGCGAGUAUUCCCUUGGCUGGAAAGCCCGGGUAACCUUGUUAAACUCCGUUGUGCUGGGGAUAGAGCAUUGCAAUUAUUGCUCUUCAACGAGGAAUCCCUAGUAAGCGCAAGUCGUCAGCUUGCGUUGAUUACGUCCCUGCCCUUUGUACACACCGCCCGUCGCUACCACCGAUUGAAUGGCUCAGUGAGGCGCCCGGACUGGCCUAAGGGAGGUAGGCAACUACCACUUAGGGCUGGAAAGCUCUCCAAACUCGGUUAUUUAGAGGAAGUAAAAGUCGUAACAAGG
rnacentral:rRNA from 1 species